CGAAGAUCCUUAAAGAUAUCUUAUGAGUAUCUUAGCUCAAAAAAAAAGAAAAAAAAAAAUCAAAACUGCCAAAUACACUUAGCAUCGACGCUUAGAUAAGUGACUUUAGCAUCCUUUAGAACCAACGACGUGUCAGCAUAUUGUUGGCUAUAUUUUUUAACAAAAGAAAAAAAUAAUUACCCUAUCUCAUUCUCAUCUCUCUCUCGUCUUUUUCUGCAGUGACAAACUUUUUUGAAGCGGAGGAGGAAGUCUGAGAAGGAAACGGCCUGAAGUUUAUGCUUGAGAAAUCUGUGAACAAGGGUGAUGCUUCUACUGUGUUAAGUUACAGAGGGUUAUCAAAUUCAACGGCGGAGAUCGGCCGUCGGGCGAAGUGGAAGUCGGUUCUUCACCCUCGAGGCUGGGCUUCCUCUAUCCGAAUUGGACUUAAAUGACCUAAUUGAGUUCUUAACUGGAUUCCCAUGGCUCGGUCUAGACAAAGAACUGAAGAAGCUUGUGGUUGACACAACUGCCAAUCAAGUAAAUUAUCUAUGAUCUAUAAAUGCGAUAUCUUUACUUUGGUUUUUAUAUGAUUUACACAGAGAGACUAUGUGAGGAAGUGUUGAAGUGUUGAUUAAUUUAAGGCAUAUCGGUGGAGGUAACUUUUCUACAUCCAUACGUCUUUGGACAUCGUCAAGACACUGUGAUUUAUAUCUUCCCUUAUCUUGUUCCCUUUAUGAAAUCCGGGGACGCAGUUGAGCAUCGACACUCCUACUAAAUCUAUAGGGAACACAGACAAUGGACUGAUGAAGAAGCUGAAAAAGUUUGGUGGACUUGCUAUGUCUCUAGGAAAUGGAAAUCCUGAAACUGGUACAGAUGAACAUAACUUUUCAAAAUUAAGAUUAAUCAUUUUGUAAUCUAUUUUUAAUAUGUUUUAUGUCAUGUUUGUUUAAACUUUUAU